UACGGGGGGAGCAAGCGUUGUUCGGAUUUACUGGGCGUAAAGGGCGCGUAGGCGGCCAGCGCAAGUCAGUUGUGAAAUCUCCGGGCUUAACUCGGAAAGGUCAACUGAUACUGCGCGGCUAGAGUGCGGAAGGGGCAACUGGAAUUCUCGGUGUAGCGGUGAAAUGCGUAGAUAUCGAGAGGAACACCUGCGGCGAAGGCGGGUUGCUGGGCCGACACUGACGCUGAGGCGCGAAAGCUAGGGGAGCGAACGGG
rnacentral:rRNA from 1 species